AGACCCUUCAUCAGGACUAACUGAAGGAAGAAUUUUCCCUAAUCUCACAGAAGUAGGCUGAUGAUAAAGACUACUGUCAGAACGACAAAUGGCCAGACUUUGAAGAUAUUUAAAGAGAAAAGACGUAAGAAGUAGAAGCAGGAGUCGGCC